rnacentral:rRNA from 1 species
CAGCCGCCGCGGUAAUACGAAGGGUGCAAGCGUUACUCGGAAUUACUGGGCGUAAAGGGAGCGUAGACGGAAUGGCAAGUCUGAAGUGAAAUGCCCGGGCUCAACCCGGGAACUGCUUUGGAAACUGUCGAUCUGGAGUGUUGGAGAGGUAAGUGGAAUUCCUGGUGUAGCGGUGAAAUGCGUAGAGAUCAGGAAGAACACCGGAGGCGAAGGCGGCUUACUGGACAAAGACUGACGUUGAGGCUCGAAAGCGUGGGAAGCAAACAGGAUUAGAUACCCGCGUAGUCCCUGUCUCUUAUAC